CACGUAGGGUGCGAGCGUUGUCCGGAAUUAUUGGGCGUAAAGAGCUCGUAGGCGGCCAACUAAGUCGGAUGUGAAAUCCCCAGGCUUAACCUGGGAACUGCAUCCGAUACUGGAUGGCUUGAAUCCGGGAGAGGGAUGCAGAAUUCCAGGUGUAGCGGUGAAAUGCGUAGAUAUCUGGAGGAAUACCGGUGGCGAAGGCGGCAUCCUGGACCGGCAUUGACGCUGAGGAGCGAAAGCUAGGGGAGCAAACGGG
rnacentral:rRNA from 1 species